UACGGGGGGAGGCAAGCGUUGUUCGGAUUUACUGGGCGUAAAGGGCGCGUAGGCGGCCUGUUAAGUCGGACGUGAAAUCCCUCGGCUCAACCGAGGAACUGCAUCCGAUACUGGCGGGCUUGAAUCCGGGAGAGGGAUGUGGAAUUCCAGGUGUAGCGGUGAAAUGCGUAGAUAUCUGGAGGAACACCGGUGGCGAAGGCGGCAUCCUGGACCGGUAUUGACGCUGAGGCGCGAAAGCUAGGGGAGCAAACGGGG
rnacentral:rRNA from 1 species